AAAAUGACUCUCGGCAACGGAUAUCUCGGCUCUCGCAUCGAUGAAGAACGUAGCGAAAUGCGAUACUUGGUGUGAAUUGCAGAAUCCCGUGAACCAUCGAGUCUUUGAACGCAAGUUGCGCCCGAAGCCUUCCGGCCGAGGGCACGUCUGCCUGGGCGUCACG
rnacentral:rRNA from 1 species